rnacentral:rRNA from 1 species
AUCGAACGCUGGCGGCAGGCCUAACACAUGCAAGUCGAACGAGUGGCGGACGCGUGAGUAAUGUCUGGGAAACUGCCCGAUGGAGGGGGUUAACAACUGGAAACGGUAGCUAAUACCGCAUACUAUCGGAUGUGCCCAGAUGGGAUUAGCUAGUAGGUGGGGUAAUGCAUCACCUAGGCGACGAUCCCUAGCUGGUCUGAGAGGAUGACCAGCCACACUGGAACUGAGACCCGGUCCCGACUCCUACGGGCGGCAGCAGUGGGGAAUAUUGCACAAUGGGCGCAAGCCUGCUGCAGCCAUGCCGCGUGGAUGAAGAAUGCCUUCGGGUUGUAAAGUACUUUCAGCGAGGAGGCGUUACUCGCAGAAGAAGCACCGGCUAACUCCGUGCCAGCAGCCGCGGUAAUAC